UAGUACGAGAGGACCGGGAUGGACGCACCGCUGGUGUACCAGUUGUUCUGCCAAGGGCAUCGCUGGGUAGCUAUGUGCGGACGGGAUAAGUGCUGAAAGCAUCUAAGCAUGAAGCCCCCCUCAAGAUGAGAUUUCCCAUUCCGCAAGGAAGUAAGAUCCCUGAAAGAUGAUCAGGUUGAUAGGUCUGAGGUGGAAGUGUGGCGACACAUGGAGCUGACAGAUACUAAUCGAUCGAGGACUUAACCACAU
rnacentral:rRNA from 1 species